CCGACGGAGGCAGAGGGAGAUAGCAGAGAGCCCAUUCAUUGGGCGUACCCGACUAUUUUAGCGUUGCGAUUGUGAUCCAGCCAAGCCAAAUAUAGUCGUAGACAGGUAUUUUUAGCCGUAAAGAGUGUCCCCGUUUUCAUCUGGCAAAAGCGACCUGGGCGAUAUAGGAUGUUUGAAAUGAGCCAAAAUCAGCACUCUCAGUGUUAACCUGUUAUUCAGUAGGGGAUAGAUCACAGUCAGCUGAUUUAACCGUCAUACCCAGAGAGAAACAACUGUCGAGAGUAAAUAGCACUGCUCACAGCUUCUCUGUCAAUCCGGGGACAAGGACAAAGAUGAAAAGACCGUAGACCCGAAGAUAAAUAACCUUCGGUUCGUCAAGCAGAUACAUAGCUACAACAGGGUAAAGUUCAUUCUGACUGAGUUCCACGCAAAGCUGCCAAUUUGUGCCAGACAGCGAAAACAUCUUUGUAUGAAUGCAACCAAGAAAAAGGCGGAGCAUAAAAAAACAGGUGGUGGUCCUGCACCCCCACAUUAUACCCCGGCAGAAGAGCUGGCCCUUGGGCUAAAUGCGAACCGACCCAUUGUGGACGGCAUCCCUGGGGGCAGCUCUUCCUUAGACCUACAGCCAGGGACCAGUAAC